ensembl:lncRNA
AUGGCCAUGAAUGUCCACGUCUGGCACAUCAACGUCCACCUUGGGGCCUUUGAUGUCCAGCUCAGGCCCCUUCAGGUCACCCUCCAGCUUUGGAAGGGACACGUCCACAUCACCCUUGACCUUGGGGCCUUUGAGGUUGAUGUCCACGUCGGGCAUGGAGAUCUUCUGGGUCUUGAUGUGCAUCUCGGGCAUCUUGAACUUGGGGCCUUUGAUCUUCCCCUCGGGACCUUCCAAAUCCACGCUGGGCACCUCCACGUCCACUUUCGGCCCUUUAACAUCCACUUCUGGAGCUUUCAACUCACCUUCCACCUUGGGGAGGGACACGUCCACCUCUCCCUUCACUUUGUGUCCCUUCAGGUUCAAAUCCACGUCCGGCAUCGAGAUUUUGGGGGAUUUGAUGUUCAGUUUCGGCAUCCUGAAUUUGUGGCCUUUCAUCUUCCCUUCUGGACAUUCCAUGUCCACCUCGGGCACCUCAACAUCCAACUUGGGACCUUCCACAUCCAACUUGGGACCUUCCACAUCCAACUUGGGACCUUUCACGUCGAUUUUGGCACCUUCUACGUCCACUUUGGGGCCUUUCACGUCGAUUUUCGGGCCCUUCAGCCCGGAAAUUCUGGCGUCCCCUUUCAGUUUCGGGGCCUUCAAGCCCAGAUCCACGUCCGGCAUGGAGAGUUUUGGGCUCUGAACGUUGAGGUCGGGCAUUUUGAACUUCAGACCUUUCCCUUUGAGCUCCGGCCCUUCCAGGUCCACGCUGGGGACGUCGAUGUCCACCUUGGGGGCAGAAAUGUCGACCUCCCCCUUCGGGAGCGUCACCUCCAGCUCGGGGCUCUCUCCCUUCACCCCAAAUUUGGGCAUUUUCAUCUUGGGGAAUUUCAGUUUGCCCUCGGGGCCUUGGACAUCCAAAUCUGGGGCUUCAACCUCGACUCUGGGGCCUUUGAUCUCCACUCCGGGGGCUUUCAGCUCCCCUUCCAGUUUUGGGGUGGAAAUGUCCAAAUCUGCCUUGACUUUGGACCCUUUGAGGUUCAGGUCGAUGUUGGGCAUGGAGAUCUGGGGGGUUUUGAUGCCCACCUCGGGCACCUUCACCUUGGGGCCCUUGAUGUCCACGCUCGGGACCUCGACGGCGACGCCGGGACCCGAAAUGUCAACGCUGCCCUUGGGAAGGGCCACCUCCAGCUCGGGGCUCUCUCCCUUCACCCCAAAUUUGGGCAUUUUCAGCUUGGGGAACUUCAGUUUGCCCUCGGGGCCUUGGACGUCCAAAUCUGGGGCUUCAACCUCCACCUUGGGGCCUUUGAUGUCCAGUUCGGGGCCCUUCAAACCCGGCACGGACACGUCCAGGUCGCCGCUGGCCUUGGCACCGUUCAGGGUCAGGUCGACGUCCGGCACGGAGAUUUUGGGGGCUUUGAGGUGCAUUUCGGGCCCCUGGAUGCCCAAACUUGGCGCCUCAACAUCCACCUUGGGGCUGGACACCUCCACGCCGCCCUUGGGGAGGUUCACGUCCACCUCGGGACCUUCUGCUUUGACCCCAGGCAUCCCAAAUUUGGGCAUUUUGAAUUUGGGCAUCUUGAAUUUUCCCUCAGGGCCGUGAACAUCCACUUCAGGUGCUUCAACGUCCACUCUGGGGCCCUUGAUGUCCACGCUUGGAACGCUGACGUCCACCUUGGGGCCGGAGACCUCCACGCCCCCUUUGGGAAGGGUCACGUCGACGCUGGGGGUCUCUCCUUUCACCCCAAAUUUGGGCAUUUUCAGCUUGGGGAACUUCAGCUUGCCCUCGGGCCCCUGGAUCUCCAUUUCUGGGCUCCCAACCUCGACUUCGGGGCCUUUGAUGUCCACGCCGGGGGUCUUCAGCUCCCCUUCCAGUUUUGGGGCAGAAACAUCCAGAUUUCCCUUCACUCCGGGCCCUUUGAGGCUCAGGCCGACGUCGGGCACAGAGAUUUGGGGGGUCUUGACGCUCAUCUCGGGCAUCUUCACCGCGGGGCCUUUGAUGCCCACUCCGGGCACCUCCACCCCGAUCUGGGGCCCUUUAAGGUCCAGUUGAGGCCCCCUCAAUUCGCCCUCCACGCUCGGCACGGACACGUCCACUCCUCCCUUCAGCCCCUUCAGGUCAACGUCCACCUCCACGCCCUUCAGGCCACGCCCUGGCCUGGCCACGUCCACCUCGGGACCCUUCACGUCCACCUUGGGGCAGAGUCCUUUCAGGUCCCCUUCCCCUCUGGGGCCCUUCAGGUUCAGGUUCACGUCCGACAGCGAAAUUUGGGGCGUUUCCACCUUCUUGAAGGCGGGGCCUUUCCAUUCUCCUUCCAGGGCCGCCUCGGGGACGGCCACGCCCUUGGGGACGUCCAUGGUGGCGCCGUCGCCCUGGGCGGUGAAUUUGGGGAAGGUCAUGUGCGGGAUUUUGAUUUUCCCCUUGGCGCUGUCCGGGGCCGGGACCUCCACGCCGGGGACAUCCGGUGCAGGGCAGGGGACCUUGGUGGCACCUUUGGCCGCCGCGUCCACCUGCGGCGCCGGGGCUUGGCCGGACGGGGAGGUGGAGCAGGUGACGUCCAUCCCGGCGCCCACCUGCGGGGCCGCGGCUUCACCACCAGCCUGGAACCCGAAUUUGGGGAUUUUUAA